rnacentral:rRNA from 1 species
UACGAGGGGGGCAAGUGUUAUCCGGAUUCACUGGGUUUAAAGGGUGCGUAGGCGGAUUUGUAAGUCCGUGGUGAAAACUCUAAGCUUAACUUGGAAACUGCCAUGGAUACUAUAAGUCUUGAAUAUUGUGGAGGUUAGCGGAAUAUGUCAUGUAGCGGUGAAAUGCAUAGAUAUGACAUAGAACACCAAUUGCGAAGGCAGCUGGCUACACAAAUAUUGACGCUGAUGCACGAAAGCGUGGGGAUCAAACAGG